AAUCACCGACGAUUCUGUUGUUGAAGAAAGAUCUCCGCUUCGAAGCGUUCGGUUAUGAGGCAGAAGAGGAAUUUGCAGAAAUCACACAGGAAUCUGAUGAUAUUGACGACUGGCAUUAUUUCAAAUAUUUUAAAAUGAAACUCUACAACGAAAAUAAAGACUCAAAGAUCAAAACAAAAAGUACAGUGACCGAUCAGAAUGGUCGCGAGAUUGAUGCCUUCAUGUCUUCAGCGUUUCCAUAAAGUUCAUUAAAGACAAAAUAAUGGACGAAUUAAAAGCAAAUAUAGGAGUUUUGAGAGACGACGAUCUUAACUUCGUUCUAACAUGUCCUGCUAUAUGGUCUGAUAAUGCUAAACGAUUCAUGCGAGUAGCAGCAGAAAAGGCUGGCAUAGCAAAUGAUCAUCUACAAAUAGGUCUAGAACCCGAGUGUGCCAGCCAUAUAUCUGCACAAUGUUACACUACCAGACCUAAGUGCGUCCAAAAAACAAUCUUUCUCCAUGGCCGACGGAGACGCAUAUGAUAGUUGAUUUAGGCGGAGGUACCGUUGCUAUUGCGGCUCAUAAGAUUAACGGAUUGGGGCGAUUUGAAGAGAUACUUAUUUCUGAUGGCGGACCAUGGGGAUCCAUUAAAUCAAUUUUAGAUUCGAACAGGCUCUGACAGCGCUGUCAGGUGCAAGUGCAUUUGAAACGUUUCGAAAUGAGAACAUGCAUGAUUACACCGAACUGAUGAGAGCGUUUGAGCAUAAGAAAAUAGCAUUGCCGGGUAACAGGUCGAAAGUAACAAUGAAGUAACAAAUGACAUAUCUUCAAUGACACCAGCAUGAACAUAGAGACAGCUUAAUGGAUUCAAUAAAGGAAGUUGCGCAUACGGUAUUUGCACAAUGUUCUUUCCAACCAAAACAUAACGUUAUCUCUUUUCCAAAUGACUCGUUUGCAAGUUUAUAUGACGAAACAAUGGGUCUAAUAAUAGAUAAAGUACGAAAUAUUUUGGAAUAUUUGAAAAAAGUGAAACAACACGACAUUAAGACGAUAUUUUGUGUGGGAGGUUUUGCUGAUUGCAAACUGCUACGAGAUUGGUUUAGGGACAUAUUCGGUGACAGGGUGAUUGCUCCAAGUGAGGCGAUAACAGCUAUAAUGAAGGGUGCCGUCAUGUUUGGACGCGAUGAAAAUAUAAUCAAGUCCAGGAUAAGUAGAUUUACUUAUGGACUGGACUGGAGCGUAGAUUUUGACAGCAAAGUCCGUGAUUCUAGAAGGAAAGAAGAAACUAAGAGUGUUGAUGUCAUCAAAGAUAUCUUUUUUUACAAUUGCUGAAAAAGAUCAAUUAAUACCAACCGACUACGCUACGAAGAAGAUAGAGUCCUACGUGAAGACAGCCACACAGGAUUGAAUGGAGUUCCCAUUCUACAGAACGACUUAGGUAGCAGCUCCAUUGAACAUCGAUGACCCUGAGUGUUCUCUGAUGGGCUCAAUGAUAGUGGGUUUGGAUGAUACAACAGGGGACUUGAUCGCUACGUGACAGUGGAAGUCUACUUUGAGGCGUCUGAACUACGAGCAGAAGCCACCGACAAUAAAGGAAAGAAACAUACGGUUACUUUCAAUUUAGAUGAAAGUGAAGCCUGAACUACAUAUAUUGUUUAAUGUAAAAUAUUUAUGAAGCAGUGCUUUUAGGAAGUGUCUAUUUGGAUUUUUAUACGAAACAGGUUAGAGUUUAUGUAAUUCGUGUUUAUGAACUUGUUAAUGCAAACAAACUUUAAUGAUUGAGAACAAUCCAUAAAUUAUUAACUUUGAACACUUUACAAACAAAAGAUCAACGUGCGGAUUAAAAUAAAAA